UACGGGGGAGCAAGCGUUGUUCGAUUUACUGGGCGUAAAGGGCGCGUAGGCGGUCAGCACAAGUCAGUUGUGAAUCUCCGGGCUUAACCCGGAAAGUCAACUGAUACUGUGCGACUAGAGUGCGGAAGGGGCAACUGGAAUUCUUUGGUGUAGCGGUGAAAUGCGUAGAUAUCAAGAGGAACACCUGCGGCGAAAGGCGGGUUGCUGGGCCGACACUGACGCUGAAGCGCGAAAGCCAGGGAGCGAACGGG
rnacentral:rRNA from 1 species